rnacentral:rRNA from 1 species
CACGUAGGGGACGAGCGUUGUCCGGAUUUAUUGGGCGUAAAGCGCGCGCAGGCGGUCCUUUAAGUCUGAUGUGAAAGCCCACGGCUCAACCGUGGAGGGUCAUUGGAAACUGGGGGACUUGAGUACAGAAGAGAAGAGUGGAAUUCCACGUGUAGCGGUGAAAUGCGUAGAGAUGUGGAGGAACACCAGUGGCGAAGGCGACUCUUUGGUCUGUAACUGACGCUGAGGCGCGAAAGCGUGGGGAGCAAACAGG